GUUUUCUUCGGUGUUCGGCACGAGAAGGUUUGGGCUUCUAGGAGGGUUUUCCCCAGGAAAA
rnacentral:tRNA from 1 species